rnacentral:rRNA from 1 species
UACGAGGGGGGCAAGCGUUGUUCGGAAUUAUUGGGCGUAAAGGGUGCGUAGGCGGUCUGACAAGUCUGAUGUGAAAUCUAUGGGCUCAACCCAUAGUCUGCAUCGGAAACUGUCGGGCUUGAGUAUGGGAGAGGUGAGUGGAAUUCCCGGUGUAGCAGUGAAAUGCGUAGAGAUCGGGAGGAACACCAGUGGCGAAGGCGGCUACCUGGACCAGCACUGACACUGAGGCACGAAAGCGUGGGGAGCAAACAGG